rnacentral:rRNA from 1 species
AUUGAACGCUGGCGGCAGGCUUAACACAUGCAAGUCGAGCGGGGGAGGUUGCUUCGGUAACUGACCUAGCGGCGGACGGGUGAGUAAUGCUUAGGAAUCUGCCUAUUAGUGGGGGACAACAUUCCGAAAGGAAUGCUAAUACCGCAUACGCCCUACGGGGGAAAGCAGGGGAUCUUCGGACCUUGCGCUAAUAGAUGAGCCUAAGUCAGAUUAGCUAGUUGGUGGGGUAAAGGCCUACCAAGGCGACGAUCUGUAGCGGGUCUGAGAGGAUGAUCCGCCGCACUGGGACUGAGACACGGCCCAGACUCCUACGGGAGGCAGCAGUGGGGAAUAUUGGACAAUGGGCGAAAGCCUGAUCCAGCCAUGCCGCGUGUGUGAAGAAGGCCUUUUGGUUGUAAAGCACUUUAAGCGAGGAGGAGGCUACCGAGAUUAAUACUCUUGGAUAGUGGACGUUACUCGCAGAAUAAGCACCGGCUAACUCUGUGCCAGCCGCCGCAGUAACAC